rnacentral:rRNA from 1 species
CCUACGGGGGGCUGCAGUGAGGAAUAUUGGUCAAUGGACGAGAGUCUGAACCAGCCAAGUAGCGUGAAGGAUGACUGCCCUAUGGGUUGUAAACUUCUUUUAUAUGGGAAUAAAAUGUUCCACGUGUGGGAUUUUGUAUGUACCAUAUGAAUAAGGAUCGGCUAACUCCGUGCCAGCAGCCGCGGUAAUACGGAGGAUCCGAGCGUUAUCCGGCUUUAUUGGGUUUAAAGGGAGCGUAGGUGGAUUGUUAAGUCAGUUGUGAAAGUUUGCGGCUCAACCGUAAAAUUGCAGUUGAAACUGGCAGUCUUGAGUACAGUAGAGGUGGGCGGAAUUCGUGGUGUAGCGGUGAAAUGCUUAGAUAUCACGAAGAACUCCGAGUGCGAAGGCAGUUCACUGGACUGCAACUGACACUGAGGCUCGAAAGUGUGGGUAUCAAACAGGAUUAGAUACCCGGGUAGUC